rnacentral:lncRNA from 1 species
ACCCUGUCUUGAAGAACCAAAAAGGAAAAUGUAAGUCAUUCCAUUUGAAGGAAGUAAUUGAGACCAGUCAACAGGUAUCAAGUAACAUAACAAGAUGUGGUGUGCUUGCCACAGGCAGAGAUGUGAGGGGACAGAGAAGCAGUGAACAUGUUGACAUAGGUAUGGAUGCCCGUUGCCAUGGCUACUGGAAGUCUCAGUAUCCCUGCUUUACAAUCCUAGUUGCAAGGAUUGCUACAACUUGACUCAUCAAAAAUAAAACCAGGCAGAUAUGAAGGUGAUAACAAGGCAUCCUUUUGUUGCUCAGUCUUCCAGGGAAAACCCUGUUGAUGUAGGCUAGAGUUGUCAUGUGACCUAUCCUUUAACCUCAGCUGGAUGGAUAAACUGACUUCUUGAGGCGUGUGAAAAAGUCAAGAAUCGCAGAGCUUGCUUUCUUUCACAGCAGUGAAGCUGCUUCCUCUCAAAGAGAGAUGACUUCGAUGCAAGCAGAGUCGCCAGGGAUGAUAAGCCCAAGGAAUUGUUCAUUUGGAACGGUACCAAAUUACUCCAUCUGUGUAAAUGGAACCACCAAAAAUAGUUUUUCAUUCUGCCCCACUGCCACCCCUGGAAAAAGACCAGAUUUCCUGCUUUCAGCUUUCCUGUGUCCCAUCCUUGCCUCAUCUCCCCUCAGCAGGAAAAGACAGAGGCUAGGGGGUUUCCCGGAGUUACUCAGUAGUUCAACUUUAGAAAAAUCAAUACACACAAAAAAGUAGUUGGUAGCUUUUUCUGAAAGUUUCCAAGAAGUUGAGUGAACUGGCAGCGUGUUAGUUCAUUUUAGCCUGUCUUUUAUGGAUUCCAAAAACAGAAUUUAGGGAACCCCCCCCCCCCAAAAAAAAAAAAACCAACUUGAA